rnacentral:rRNA from 1 species
GACGAACGCUGGCGGCGUGCUUAACACAUGCAAGUCGAACGGAAAGGCCCUGAUUUUGUGGGGUGCUUGAGUGGCGAACGGGUGAGUAACACGUGAGUAACCUGUACUUGACUUUGGGAUAACUUCAGGAAAAUGGGGCUCAUACCGGAUAGGAGCUCCUGCUGCAUGGUGGGGGUUGGUUAGAUUCGGCGGUUGGGGAUGGAUUGGCGGCUUAUCACCUUGAUGGUGGGGUAGUGGAUUACGAAGGCUUUGAAGGGUAGCCGGCCUGCGAGGGUGACCGGCCACAUUGGGACUGGGCUACGGCCCAGACGCCUACGGGAGGCAGCAGUGGAGAGGAUUGCACAGUGGGCGGGAGCCUGAUGCAGCAACGCCGCGUGCGGGAUGACGGCCUUCGGGUUGUGAACCUCUGUCGCCUGUGACGAAGCGAGAGUGACGGUAAUGGGUAAAGAAGCACCGGCUAACUACGUG